GGCCCGUUGGUCAAGCGGUUAAGACACCGUCCUUUCACGGCGGUAACACGGGUUCGAAUCCCGUACGGGUCACCA
rnacentral:tRNA from 1 species